AUUGAACGCUGGCGGCAGGCCUAACACAUGCAAGUCGAGCGGCUGAUGGGAGCUUGCUCCUGGUUUUAGCGGCGGACGGGAGCGUAAUGCCUAGGACUCUGCCUGGUAGUGGGGGAUAACGUCCGGCCCAGGGCGCUAAUACCGCAUACGUCCUGAGGGCGAACGGGGGGGAUAUUCGGACCUCACGCUAUCAGAUGAGCCUAGGUCGGAUUCGCUAGUUGGUGGGGUAAAGGCCUAACAAGGCGACGAUCCGUAACUGGUCUGAGAGGAUGAUCAGGCACACGGGAACGGGGACACCGUCCAGACCCCUACGGGACUCAACAGCCAGGAAUAGUGGACAGUGCUCGAAGACCUGAUCCAGCCAUGCCCAGUGUGUCAAUAAGUUCUUCGGAUGGUAAAGCACUCUAAGUUGUGAGGAACCGCAGUAAGUUAAUACCUUGCUGUGUUGACGUUACCAACAGAAUAAGCACCGGCUAACUUCGUG
rnacentral:rRNA from 1 species